rnacentral:rRNA from 1 species
GAUGAACGCUGGCGGCGUGCCUAACACAUGCAAGUCGAGCGACCAGACGAGGAGCUUGCUCCCUUACCGUUAGCGGCUGACGGGUGAGUAACACGUGCAUAACCUACUUCUUAGUCUGGGAUAACUUCGUGAAACCGGUUCUAAUACUGGAUAAUACAUUCUACCGCUUGGUUCAAUAGUUCUUCACGCCUUUCCCGCCUCAUUUAGCUGAAGUCGCAUUAGCUUGUUGGCAGGGUAACGUCCCACCAAGGCAACGAUGCGUAGCUGGCCUGAGAGGAUGAUCGGCCACACUGGAACUGAGACACGGUCCAGACUCCUACGGGAGGCAGCAGUGGGGAAUCUUGGACAAUGGGCGAAAGCCUGACGGAGCAACGCCGCGUGAGUGAGGAAGGUCUUCGGGUCGUAAAGCCCUGUUGUUGGGAAAGAACAGCAGUAGAAGUAAAUAUGGACGUCUUGACGGUACCUAAACAGAAAGCCACGGCUAACUACGUG